rnacentral:rRNA from 1 species
UACGUAGGGGGCAAGCGUUAUCCGUAUUUACUGGGUGUAAAGGGAGCGUAGGCGGCGAUGCAAGUCAGAAGUGAAAGCCCGGGGCUCAACUCCGGGACUGCUUUUGAAACUGUGUUGCUAGAUUGCAGGAGAGGUAAGUGGAAUUCCUAGUGUAGCGGUGAAAUGCGUAGAUAUUAGGAGGAACACCAGUGGCGAAGGCGGCUUACUGGACUGUAAAUGACGCUGAGGCUCGAAAGCGUGGGGAGCAAACAGG